CUCACAACCAAUUUAAAAUUUAAAAGUCUGCUCUCUCUCUCUCUCUCUUUUUGGCUGGCCUGUGGUAAGUCAAAUGUAAAUAAUCUUGUAGAAACUUCUAAACAGUCACAAGCAUGGCACAUUUAAGACUGAAGCAAUAACAUAUUUUCAGAAAGUGACUAUUUAUUGCAUUCACACACUCUUGUGACUAAAUUCAAUUUUAUGUGAGGAGGCACAGGGACAGUGAAAAUCACUGUAAUCAAAACAAUUCAUUUACAUACAUGAACACAUACAUACAUCCUUUACUGUAUGUGUUUCCAUGAAAAUAUUCUUCAGAGUGUCUUUUUUUUCUUGUAAAAGAAGGAAAACUAUGCCAUCUUCACAGGUAUCACAUACAUUGUCAGAAUUUACAUCAAUGUACGUUGUUGAAUUCUCAUGUCAGCAGUGCAUGAUGUAUUCAAUUUCUAUCUAUGUUGUUCACAGGUAACAGUAGAUUCAAAUAAUACAAUUAUAAGACCAUGUAGAAGAGACAGUUAUGGAGGAACUUCCAAGGACUCAUAAAUGUCCACAGUGAUUCACACAAACAGUAAGAAUACCAAGUAAGAUAAUACAGUCAAUAGUGUGCAAUGUUUGAGACAUCUUUCCUUUAUGACUGCUCCCAAAUCCUUUGAAGAAGUUGGGGGGAAUCCCUGCACAAUUAUCUAAACAUCAGUCAUUCAUUCAAAACGGUUGAUUCAUUCAUUUAUUAUCACACAUCGGCAAUUGUGCAUUACUCACUGGUCACAAAAUCACCAACCCUCAUCUCUUCACAAAACCCAAUACAUGGCUCU
rnacentral:lncRNA from 1 species